GCGGGUAGAGCUUUCCAGGGUGACCUUGGGAUUGGUGGGAUUUGGGGGGACAAGCUUAGGGAUUGGUGGGAUUCUGUGGCCCAAUGUUGGGCAAGCUCAGGAAUUGGUGGGAUUCUUUUUCUUGGUCCUGGGUUUGGGUUUAGGUUCAAGUCAGGAGCAGGUUAUCUUUUGGCCCUGGUCUCGGGGUUUAGAAAGUCCUAUCAUAAGUUUGUGCAUUCCAGCUUGAAACAAGCCUCGGCCACUGUUGUAACUUUAGACAUGCUGUCAUCUAGGCUUCCUUAUGUGAAUGAAUUCAGACAUUAGCCAUGGCCCUUUGUGCAUAACACUGGGUGGAAAGCUUGGCCCUGAGCUCCGUUUCUGCUCUGUUAUUUUUGAUAUUGGCUAAAACAGACAGCCAUGCUGUCCACAGCUGUGAAGACACCCGGUGUGUGAUACCCGCAAAACUGAGACUGGAAGGAUGAGCUGAGAGAAUUUUUGGUAGACAGUUGGAUAGUGUUUCUGAAAAAAAAAAGUUCAUUUCUUUCACUCUAGGAAUUCCAUAUUUAGCAAUUUAGAUAUAGUCUUCACUUACGAUGAUGUGCACGCAGCACUUUCUGUAGCAGAAAAUGAAAAUCACAACCGAAGCAAAUAGAAACCUCUAAAUUAGGUAUAUAUAUUGAGUAAUUAGAGCUAUAUCUGAGCAAUGGACACACUACCAAGCAUGCCUGAACUACCGUCCUUGAGCUACAGAUGGUGCUAUGGAACCAAACGUUAGGGCUGCUCCGCGUCAGGUGGGCGGUAUCUCAGCGUCCAUAUGAGCCAGAAACAUCAUUACUGUGGUUGUCACAGUGGGGACAUGGGUCGCUGGACGUGCCUCACUCUGGAAGGAAGAAAGCUCGGGGUUAUGGUUCUGGCCUCGGCUUUUCCUGCUGCCUCUGCAGCCAUAAGUCUCUGGGACCUCUCUACCCUCUGUCUCCCAGAGGCCCCUGUGCUGCCUUCCCACAUUCUGGGGUCUCAGGUGCUGACCUUAUGAGGGAUCAGUCUGAAUUGGAGACACCCUGCCUUCGUGGCUUAUCUUCACAAAUAAGAAAUACUUGAAGCCAGGGAUGCCCAGACUGUCCUUUCGUCUUCUCAUACGUUGGUGGAAAGACUAUCUCCAGUGGACAGCAGAUACCUGGGGCUCAUUUUGCUGUUUUCAAAGUUCCUUUGUGA
rnacentral:lncRNA from 1 species